GAAACGACUGCUAAGACUGGAUAGGAGACAAGAAGGCAUCUUCUUGUUUUUAAAAGACCUAGCAAUAGGUAUGCUUAGGUAGGAGCUUGCGUCACAUUAGUUAGUUGGUGGGGUAAAGGCCUACCAAGACUAUGAUGUGUAGCCGGGCUGAGAGGUUGAACGGCCACAUUGGGACUGAGACACGGCCCAAACUCCUACGGGAGGCAGCAGUAGGGAAUUUUCGGCAAUGGAGGAAACUCUGACCGAGCAACGCCGCGUGAACGAUGAAGUAUUUCGGUACGUAAAGUUCUUUUAUUAGGGAAGAAUAAAUGAUGGAAAAAUCAUUCUGACGGUACCUAAUGAAUAAGCCCCGGCUAACUAUGUGCCAGCAGCCGCGGUAAUACAUAGGGGGCAAGCGUUAUCCGGAAUUAUUGGGCGUAAAGGGUGCGUAGGCGGUUAAAUAAGUUUGUGGUCUAAGUGCAAUGCUCAACAUUGUGAUGCUAUAAAAACUGUUUAGCUAGAGUAAGAUAGAGGCAAGUGGAAUUCCAUGUGUAGUGGUAAAAUGCGUAAAUAUAUGGAGGAACACCAGUAGCGAAGGCGGCUUGCUGGGUCUUUACUGACGCUGAGGCACGAAAGCGUGGGGAGCAAACAGGAUUAGAUACCCUGGUAGUCCACGCCGUAAACGAUGAGUACUAAACGUUGGGUAAAACCAGUGUUGAAGCUAACACAUUAAGUACUCCGCCUGAGUAGUACGUACGCAAGUAUGAAACUUAAAGGAAUUGACGGGACUCCGCACAAGCGGUGGAUCAUGUUGUUUAAUUCGAAGGUACCCGAAAAACCUCACCAGGUCUUGACAUGCUUCUGCAAAGCCGUAGAAACACAGUGGAGGUUAUCAGUUGCACAGGUGGUGCAUGGUUGUCGUCAGCUCGUGUCGUGAGAUGUUGGGUUAAGUCCCGCAACGAGCGCAACCCUUAUUGUUAGUUACCAGCACGUAAUGGUGGGGACUUAGCAAGACUGCCAGUGAUAAAUUGGAGGAAGGUGGGGACGACGUCAAAUCAUCAUGCCCCUUAUGACCUGGGCUACAAACGUGAUACAAUGGCUGUUACAAAGGGUAGCUGGAGCGCAAGUUUUUGGCGAAUCUCAAAAAAACAGUCUCAGUUCGGAUUGAAGUCUGCAACUCGACUUCAUGAAGUUGGAAUCGCUAGUAAUCGCGAAUCAGCAUGUCGCGGUGAAUACGUUCUCGGGGUUUGUACACACCGCCCGUCA
rnacentral:rRNA from 1 species